CCUACGGGCGGCAGCAGUGGGGAAUAUUGGACAAUGGGGGCAACCCUGAUCCAGCCAUGCCGCGUGUGUGAAGAAGGCCCUCGGGUUGUAAAGCACUUUCAGUGAGGAAGAACGCCUGGUGGUUAAUACCCAUCAGGAAAGACAUCACUCACAGAAGAAGCACCGGCUAACUCCGUGCCAGCAGCCGCGGUAAUACGGAGGGUGCGAGCGUUAAUCGGAAUUACUGGGCGUAAAGCGCGCGUAGGUGGCUUGAUAAGCCGGUUGUGAAAGCCCCGGGCUCAACCUGGGAACGGCAUCCGGAACUGUCAAGCUAGAGUGCAGGAGAGGAAGGUAGAAUUCCCGGUGUAGCGGUGAAAUGCGUAGAGAUCGGGAGGAAUACCAGUGGCGAAGGCGGCCUUCUGGACUGACACUGACACUGAGGUGCGAAAGCGUGGGUAGCAAACCGGAUUAGAUACCCGAGUAGUC
rnacentral:rRNA from 1 species